CCCCUUGUGAGGCCCAAGAAUCGUCGAGGGGUCAAAGUCUCAACAAUUUAACAGAUUGGAACCAAUCGCCCAAAUGGGAAAGAAUAUACAAAACGGGUUAUUAUGACCCAAACGAGUUAUAUAUAGAUAACCUAAACAGGCUACACAAAAAUUGACGGUAUAUUCUGCACGAGAAUUUCCAAAAUACUCUUCUUUGCGAGGGGACUUGAUUGCUCACAGGGACCCAAGUAUAUAAAAAGUCAGCCGAAAAUAUGGCCCUCAAAGCCUCAACUGAUGCGGAAGUACCAUUACAUAAGGUGAAAAAUAUGCCCCGUAAACGGAGGUGUUGUUGCAAACAGCAUCUAUAUUGCUCAACAUUGACAGAGACUAUCUGACAUGAAAAUCAGAGUUAAAGUACAAUUAACUUUUUGAUGAAAAAGGAAUUCAUAUUCCCUCAUUAUACCUUUUUGUGAAACCUAUGCGUCAAAUUUGCUGAGCAGUGUCUUUAGCACGAAGAUGAGACUGAGGAGGCAGCGAGGAAGAAAAAGUUAGUAUUAUGGAGUACUUUGAAGAAUUCCUGCAGGCAGUAUUCAGUAAUGAACUAACGAGCGAUCAGUUGUCGUCAUUAACAUACGCUUUAGAGAACUUGUUUACCUGUCCAGAUUGUGGCAUGGAGUUCAUGGAUGAACCAGAUUUUAAGGAUCACAUCAAGAACUACGACCAUGCUCUAAACAUUGACACAGACAAAUGUAGAAAGUACAACGAUGUUGUCAUGUUGCCUGGUGCAAAAUUCGUUGAAUUAUUUUAUAAAACCGGGAAAUUUAGUAUUCCCUCCACUAUUCAAUAAGAAAUAAAUAUAUCGUUAUGUCAUAGAACAAUGCACAAUUUCAAUUUCAGAACUGGGUCAUUAUGAGAUCGGUAUGACAAAAGCCAUAUUUCGGCUGCUAUGGGACGUUCUCCUUAUAGUUCUCCGGCGCAACAAUUCCACAGCAAUUAAUGUGUCUAAAACAGUUUUCAUCAUUACUCUUUGGCCUUAACAUGCCAUUUUAUAUGGAGACAUAUAUGAGGGACACAUUUGUUUGAAUUCAGUGCCCAGGUAAAGUACGUGGGUUUAUUGAGGAGUCUUACAGAGUUUCUGGCAGUGAUGCCAAGGGUGCACGUGAGGGGGUGAUUUUAUAUUAAAGGCCAAAAACAGGAAAACGAAGAUGUGGAUCCAAAAUGGGGUGCCUGAUGAGGAGAAGUGGAGAAAUGUUUAAAUCAUGAUAUGGUGAGGGCAUUUCCAUCCUAUUCUGCUAAGAGGUGCCUACGAAAUGGCUGUAAUACCAAGGCACAGGGCAUGAACCCAGUACUUGGAAAAAAUAAACAACGAAAAAUCUAUGCAGAGUGGAAGAAAGUGAUAUCGAAGCCAAAAGCAGACAUUCUGAAAUUUUAUCAUGAUGUUUUAAAAUUGGA